AGCGAACGCUGGCGGCAGGCUUAACACAUGCAAGUCGAGCGGGCAUCUUCGGGUGUCAGCGGCGGACGGGUGAGUAACGCGUGGGAACGUGCCUUCUGGUUCGGAAUAACUCAGGGAAACUUGAGCUAAUACCGGAUACGCCCUUUUGGGGAAAGGUUUACUGCCGGAGGAUCGGCCCGCGUCUGAUUAGCUAGUUGGUGGGGUAACGGCCUACCAAGGCGACGAUCAGUAGCUGGUCUGAGAGGAUGAUCGGCCACACUGGGACUGAGACACGGCCCAGACUCCUACGGGAGGCAGCAGUGGGGAAUAUUGGACAAUGGGGGCAACCCUGAUCCAGCCAUGCCGCGUGGGUGAUGAAGGCCUUAGGGUUGUAAAGCUCUUUUAUCCGGGACGAUAAUGACGGUACCGGAGGAAUAAGCCCCGGCUAACUUCGUGCCAGCAGCCGCGGUAA
rnacentral:rRNA from 1 species